GACGAGGGGUCCGAGCGUUAAUCAGAAUCACUGGGCUUAAAGCGUGCGCAGGCGGUCUGGCAAGCAUCUUGUGAAAUCCCUCGGCUCAACCGGGGAACUGCAGGGUGAACUGCCAGACUUGAGGCAGGUAGGGGCUGAUGGAACCAUGAGUGGAGCGGUGAAAUGCGUAGAUAUUCAUGGGAACGCCGAUGGGGAAGCCGAUCAGCUGGGCCUGUCCUGACGCUCAGGCACGAAAGCGUGGGGAGCAAACAGG
rnacentral:misc_RNA from 1 species